rnacentral:rRNA from 1 species
AAAACAUGUCUUUUUGAAAAUAAUAAAAAGUCUAAUCUGCCCACUGAAUUUAUUUAAAGGGCUGCAGUAUAUUGACUGUACAAAGGUAGCAUAAUCAAUAGUCUUUUAAUUGAAGACUUGUAUGAAUGAUUUGAUGAAAUAUGAACUGUCUCUUUUUUAAAAAUAAAAUUUAAUUUUUUAGUUAAAAAGCUAAAAUAAUUAUAAAAGACGAGAAGACCCUAUAGAGUUUUAUAGUUAUUUAAUUUAAAAAUUUUAUAUAUAAUUUAAAUUUAAAAUUAAUUAAUUAUUUUAUUGGGGUGAUAGAAAAAUUAAAAAAACUUUUUUUUAAAAUUUAACAUUAAUUUAUGAAAUUAUGAUCCAUAAUUUAUGAUUAAAAGAAUCAAUUACCUUAGGGAUAACAGCGUAAUUUUUUUUUUUAGUACAAAUAAGAAAAAGAGUUUGCGACCUCGAUGUUGGAUUAAGAUAAAAUUUAAAUGCAAAAGUUUAAAAUUUUUGAUCUGUUCGAUCAUUAAAAUCUUACAUGAUCUG